rnacentral:rRNA from 1 species
AGCGAACGCUGGCGGCAGGCUUAACACAUGCAAGUCGAGCGCCGUAGCAAUACGGAGCGGCAGACGGGUGAGUAACGCGUGGGAACGUGCCCUAAGGUACGGAACAACCAAGGGAAACUUUGGCUAAUACCGUAUGUGCCCGAGAGGGGAAAGAUUUAUCGCCUUAGGAGCGGCCCGCGUCUGAUUAGCUAGUUGGUGAGGUAAUGGCUCACCGAGGCGACGAUCAGUAGCUGGUCUGAGAGGAUGAUCAGCCACACUGGGACUGAGACACGGCCCAGACUCCUACGGGAGGAAGCAGUGGGGAAUAUUGGACAAUGGGCGCAAGCCUGAUCCAGCCAUGCCGCGUGAGUGAUGAAGGCCUUAGGGUUGUAAAGCUCUUUCGACGGGGAAGAUAAUGACGGUACCCGUAGAAGAAGCCCCGGCUAACUUCGUGCCAGCCGCCGCCGUAA